rnacentral:rRNA from 1 species
CCUACGGGAGGCAGCAGUGAGGAAUAUUGGUCAAUGGGCGAGAGCCUGAACCAGCCAAGUCGCGUGAAGGAUGAAGGAUCUAUGGUUUGUAAACUUCUUUUAUAUGGGAAUAAAGUGAGGAACGUGUUCCUUUUGUAUGUACCAUAUGAAUAAGCAUCGGCUAACUCCGUGCCAGCAGCCGCGGUAAUACGGAGGAUGCGAGCGUUAUCCGGAUUUAUUGGGUUUAAAGGGUGCGUAGGUGGUUAAUUAAGUCAGCGGUGAAAGUUUGUGGCUCAACCAUAAAAUUGCCGUUGAAACUGGUUGACUCGAGUAUAUUUGAGGUAGGCGGAAUGCGUGGUGUAGCGGUGAAAUGCAUAGAUAUCACGCAGAACUCCGAUUGCGAAGGCAGCUUACUAAACUAUAACUGACACUGAAGCACGAAAGCGUGGGGAUCAAACAGGAUUAGAUACCCGUGUAGUC